rnacentral:rRNA from 1 species
GACGAACGCUGGCGGCGUGCCUAAUACAUGCAAGUCGAACGCUUCUUUCCUCCCGAGUGCUUGCACUCAAUUGGAAAGAGGAGUGGCGGACGGGUGAGUAACACGUGGGUAACCUACCCAUCAGAGGGGGAUAACACUUGGAAACAGGUGCUAAUACCGCAUAACAGUUUAUGCCGCAUGGCAUAAGAGUGAAAGGCGCUUUCGGGUGUCGCUGAUGGAUGGACCCGCGGUGCAUUAGCUAGUUGGUGAGGUAACGGCUCACCAAGGCCACGAUGCAUAGCCGACCUGAGAGGGUGAUCGGCCACACUGGGACUGAGACACGGCCCAGACUCCUACGGGAGGCAGCAGUAGGGAAUCUUCGGCAAUGGACGAAAGUCUGACCGAGCAACGCCGCGUGAGUGAAGAAGGUUUUCGGAUCGUAAAACUCUGUUGUUAGAGAAGAACAAGGACGUUAGUAACUGAACGUCCCCUGACGGUAUCUAACCAGAAAGCCACGGCUAACUACGUGCCAGCAGCCGCGGUAAUACGUAGGUGGCAAGCGUUGUCCGGAUUUAUUGGGCGUAAAGCGAGCGCAGGCGGUUUCUUAAGUCUGAUGUGAAAGCCCCCGGCUCAACCGGGGAGGGUCAUUGGAAACUGGGAGACUUGAGUGCAGAAGAGGAGAGUGGAAUUCCAUGUGUAGCGGUGAAAUGCGUAGAUAUAUGGAGGAACACCAGUGGCGAAGGCGGCUCUCUGGUCUGUAACUGACGCUGAGGCUCGAAAGCGUGGGGAGCAAACAGGA